rnacentral:rRNA from 1 species
UACGGAAGGCAGCAGUGGGGAAUAUUGCACAAUGGGCGAAAGCCUGAUGCAGCUAUGCCGCGUGUAUGAAGAAGGCCUUAGGGUUGUAAAGUACUUUCAUCGGGGAGGAAAAACAAAACUAAUAAUUUUAUUUCUUGACGUUACCCGAAAAAGAAGCACCGGCUAACUCCGUGCCAGCAGCCGCGGUAAUACGGAGGGUGCUAGCGUUAAUCAGAAUUACUGGGCGUAAAGAGCACGUAGGUGGUUUUUUUAAGUCAGAUGUGAAAUCCCUGGGCUUAACCUAGGAACUGCAUUUUGAAACUGAAAUACUAGAGUAUCGUAGAGGGAGGUAGAAUUCUAGGUGUAGCGGUGAAAUGCGUAGAUAUCUGGAGGAAUACCUGUGGCGAAAGCGGCCCCUGGACAAAGACUGACGCUCAUGUGCGAAAGCGUGGGGAGCAAACAGGGAUUAGAUACC